rnacentral:RNase_P_RNA from 1 species
GGAGUUGGCCAGACAGUCGCGCUAACCUUCGGGUUAGGGAGGAAAGUCCGGGCUCCACAGGGCAGGAUGCCAGGUAAUCCCUGGGCGGCGUGAGCCGACGGCCAGUGCAGCAGAGAGCAGACCGCCGAUGGCCCUUUGACUAUUUAGAGGGAUCAGGUAAGGGUGAAAGGGUGCGGUAAGAGCGCACCGCGCACCUGGUAACAGGUUGUGGCAAGGUAAACCCCAUCCGGAGCAAGACCAAAUAGGGGAGCAAUGGUGCGGCCCGCACUGCUCCCGGGUAGGUUGCUUGAGGUCAAUGGUGACAUUUGAUCCAGAUGAAUGACUGUCCACGACAGAACCCGGCUUACCGGCCGACUCCCACA